rnacentral:rRNA from 1 species
GAUGAACGCUAGCUACAGGCUUAACACAUGCAAGUCGAGGGGCAGCAUUAUCGAAGCUUGCUUUGAUAGAUGGCGACCGGCGCACGGGUGAGUAACGCGUAUCCAACCUUCCCCAUAGUCAGGAAUAGCCCGGCGAAAGUCGAAUUAAUGCCUGAUGUUUUCCACGGACGGCAUCUGAUGUGGAACAAAGAUUCAUCGCUAUGGGAUGGGGAUGCGUCUGAUUAGCUUGUUGGCGGGGUAACGGCCCACCAAGGCAACGAUCAGUAGGGGUUCUGAGAGGAAGGUCCCCCAUAUUGGAACUGAGACACGGUCCAAACUCCUACGGGAGGCAGCAGUGAGGAAUAUUGGUCAAUGGGCGGAAGCCUGAACCAGCCAAGUAGCGUGAGGGAUGACUGCCCUAUGGGUUGUAAACCUCUUUUUAUAAGGGAAGAGCAGAAGACGGUACCCUUGAAUAAGCCACGGCUAACUACGUG